UACGAAGGGGGCUAGCGUUGCUCGGAAUUAUUGGGCGUAAAGGGCGUGUAGGCGGCUUCGUAAGUCUCAUUGUGAAAGCCCUCGGCUCAACCGAGGAACUGCAUGGGAAACUGCGGAGCUUGAGUCCGGGAGAGGAGAGCGGAAUUCCCAGUGUAGCGGUGAAAUGCGUAGAUAUUGGGAGGAACACCGGUGGCGAAGGCGGCUCUCUGGACCGGUACUGACGCUGAGGAGCGAAAGCGUGGGGAGCGAACAGG
rnacentral:rRNA from 1 species